UACGUAGGCAGCAAGCGUUGUUCGGAGUUACUGGGCGUAAAGGGUGCGUAGGCGGUUGUUUAAGUUUGGUGUGAAAUCUCCCGGCUCAACCGGGAGGGUGCGCCGAAUACUGAAUGACUAGAGUGCGGGAGAGGAGAGUGGAAUUCCUGGUGUAGCGGUGAAAUGCGUAGAUAUCAGGAGGAACACCGGUGGUGUAGACGGCUUCCUGGUCUGCAACUGACGCUGUGGCGCGAAAGCUAGGGGAGCAAACGGG
rnacentral:rRNA from 1 species